ensembl:snoRNA
UGGAUCAGUGAUGAUCCCUGCCGUCGUGUGAGUCACUGAUGAUGAAUAAUACAUGUGUGUGUCUGGAACGCUGAGGUCCAA